GACGGGUGCAACACGUGCGUGCAGUCAAAUAGGGUUUUUCGUACACAAUGAAUAGCCCGGAGCUUGAGGAUGAACGCAUACGUCUUGUUUUAAUGCAGUCUGACAGUGAAGAUGACUAGUUAUCCGACGGUAGCGAAAAGGAAGAUCAUUUGCGUACGCGAAGUCAAAAUAGUGAUACUGAGCAAAAUGCAAGCAGUGAUGGCGAGGAUAACGUACGACUAUUUGAAUUGCAACAUCAUUAUCCACAUAUGUCAGAAGAAGAGGAAUCGGAUAGCCAGGUUACUGAACACUUGCAAGGCCGCAAAGAAACACCUCAAUUGCCGAGACAGCUACGCAAGAGACUCAGAGAAUUCAUCGGAGAACCUGAACAAGAAGGUCCUGUUAGGGUUCCAGGUGUACGAAAAAGGUGCCAAGUACGUCCUUAUGCCCGCCAUCGCAAGACAGCCAAUAUUUGUGAAGAUUGCCAUAAGUAUAUUUGUCCAGAACACACUAUUUCAUUCUGCCGAGGUUGUGUUGCAAUCAUAGACAAUAAUGAUUUGUAAUUUAUAAUUUGAUGAUAAGAUUGUAAGUGCAACUAAUUGACCUUUACGUAUGUACCAAAUUAAAAGUUAAUCGUCUAAGAAGGAAGUUCCUUUUUGUUGUUUUUAGUGUAAGUUUAGAAAGUUUAUGUAAAAGUUGAUUAUUUUGUAGUACUUUGUUAAAAGUGAUUUAAUUAUAUUAUUUUGUACUCUUA